GAUGAACGCUGACAGAAUGCUUAACACAUGCAAGUCUUUGGCAAAGCUGUGCUUGCACAGUCUAGCCAAGGCGGACGGGGUGAGGAAUAGCGUUAAGGAACUUGCCCUGCAGUCAGGGAUAACAGACGGAAACGACUGAUAAAACCUGAUAAAGUCAGGCGGACUCAUGUCCAGCCUGAUGAAAAGAGAUGCUGCAGGAGAGCCUUGCGUCCUAUUAGCUUGUUGGUGGGGUAACGGCCCACCAAGGCGAUGAUAGGUAGCCGGCCUGAGAGGGUGGACGGCCACAAGGGGACUGAGAUACGGCCCUUACUCCUACGGGAGGCAGCAGUGGGGAAUAUUGGACAAUGGGGGCAACCCUGAUCCAGCAAUUCUGUGUGCACGAUGAAGGUUUUCGGAUUGUAAAGUGCUUUCAGCAGGGAAGAAAAA
rnacentral:rRNA from 1 species